UUAAUAGAAGUGAACGUAGGACGUCCUGUGUGGAUUGAUCGAGAAGUCCCAAAUUUAAUUGUUGAUUUGGAAUGCCAAAUCUGUCAGCUUGUUCUGGAGACCAGAGUGGCUGAGAUUCCCUGGCACCGAGGAAUUGCCUCUCCUAGCCUGUUCCAGUCCGGUAUGACACAGGCUCUAUGACUCAACUGGGGAUAUACAGGGCUAAAAUUUGAAGGAUUAGGGGAAGGCAGAAGAUACAGAAACUUGAAAGCACAUACCACAAGACUCAAGGACAGCUUCUAUCGCACUGUUAUCGCUCUUGAACGGAACUCUAAUGUGCUAAUUGAAUUGCAUUUGAAACGACUCUUCACUGCAAGAUAAUUGCAAUGUUACCGAUAAAGCAGAAAAGACCGAUGACAACAAUUCUUCAAGAGCUGGCGAGGCAGCAAGAGGAGACUAUACAAAAUAGAAGCAGGACUAGGCCAUUCAGCCCCUCAUGCCUACUCUGCCUUCAAGAAGACCAUGAUUGAUGUUUAACCUCAACGCCACUUUCCUGCACUAACUACAUAUUCUAUGGUUCACUUAAUGUUCAACGAUCUAUUGACCUUAGUCUUGAAUAUACGCAGUGACUGAACCUUCACAUAACCCUCUCAGGCACUGAAUGUCAAAGAGACAAUUCCCUCUGGGUGAAGAAAUUUCUUCUCAUCUCAGUCCUAAACAUCCUUUAUUCUGAGACUAUGAACCCUAGUUCUAGACACCACAGCGAGUGAAGCAUCAUCCCUGCAUUUACCUUGUCAAGCUCUGUAAAGCCUUUGUACAUCCACCAGCACUCUGGAGAAUAUAGUUCCGGUCUGCAUAAUCUCUCACCACAGGACAAUUCCCCUACACCAGGAAUCAAUCUGCUGAGUCUUUAUUGUACUCCCUCUUUCACGUGUAUACCCUUUAUUAGGUAGGGAGAGGAAACUGUGACACAAUAAUCCAGGGCACUUUCACCACAGCACUAUAUAAUUAAACUAACAAUUUCCUUGGUUACAGCUGAGACAUGAGCAUCUAUUAUUUGAAAGGGAUGGAGAGUUUACUUCCAGAACUGGUGUGCCCAGCAUCAGAUGCCAGUUAUGCCUCCGGGAAUAUUGGCUGUGGCAUUUCAUAAUUUGCCCGUCUUAUUUUCCAGCCUUUGAAGCUAACGGGCUAAAAGUCGGGAAUGAUGAGCUGUCUGCCGAAACUGAUACUCUGGUAUGUUCUGUUCAUUCCAGUCGUGUUGUGUGACAGUGCCCUGGAGUGGGUAACUGUCCCACACCAGAUUGUAAACAAAUGAACAAAAGUUAAAGUGUACAUUUUUGUCUGUGGUUUGCUUUUGAAUUUAUUUGCCUUUUGUACAGCUUGCCAAAGCAUAGUUAAUUUGGCGGUAGGUACUGUAUCCAUUUUAUUACUUUUUACAUGUUGCUGCAUAGAUUUAAUAGAAUCUAGAAAUAGUAUGACAUAAAACUUGAUAUUUUAUCACAUACAUUUAGUGAGGCCCCCUCCAAGUCACAAAACUUUUUAUCAGCCUUAUAAUUUUCCCAAAGAAGGAUUAUAAAUGGUGUACAUUUGCUGCAAUGUGCAACUCUGAAAAGAUUGCCUAUUUGUAAAUACAUGUAAGUGAACAGACCUUCUUUAUUGCAAAAGGGGCUCCCUCUUCCCUCUCCUCCACCCCAUCACCAUGCUUGUUGAACACUAGUUCAGACCCCUGCAAUGUAAACCACAAGCAUAAUCAAUGAUACAAAUGUAAACACAACUUUAAGUAUUGGGUUUCCCGAUAUCCAGUGGAGUGAAGUUCUUUCCCUGAAUCCAAAGCAGGAUGGGAUUGGGGAGGGAAGGAGAUUAAUUCUUUGUGGAGAACCCCUUGAAGAUUUAAUUGGAUCCUGCCUCUACCAAUGCACAAAAGAGUAUUUGUAAACAUCUACAGUUUCAGAGAGGCUUGGGAUUUAUUUUUGAAAAUCUCAUUUCUGCAUCCUAGUAGCUGGUCAGAAACUGAAAUAGAAUUUGCCUUUAUUUUUAUUUGCUUCACAGAACAGCAACGGAACAUAGGUACUUUUUUUUAAACCUAUAAAGCAAAAUGUUUAACGGGAAAUGGGGGAAGAAGCCACACAAACAUCUAAACCUGACCAAAGCUACAAAUGAGCAGGAAAAAUGUAACAAUGUAGUCUUGCUUGGUUUUAAUUUUGGAAAAUGUACUAUCCACUUAAAAUGUUUCAAAUUCUUGACAAAGUGUUUGUGAUGCUUGGCUGGAGCUGAAUUAUCCAUUAUUGUAUUUAAAGUUUUCAAUUAAAUGAUCCAUCAAACUUGGCAGAAUUUUCAGAGAAGCAUAGACAUGAAUGCAUUAAGAAUGCGUUUGAGAAGUGGGCUUUGAGAGAUAUGCCCACGAGCAUGGCUUGGUAAUCCUCUUUAUGCUACUGGGAAGGAUACAAUGCCGAUUAUGUUUCGUGUUUAUGCAGUAUUAAUAGUAGGAUCUUAACGCAAUAUGUGACCUCGAUUUCUGUGGAGGAAAAUUAGACUUAAACGAUAUUUUGAUCCACUGGGACCAUCCUAUA